UACAGAGGUCCCAAGCGUUGUUCGGAUUCACUGGGCGUAAAGGGUGCGUAGGUGGUCGGGUAAGUCUGAUGUGAAAUCUCCGGGCCUAACCCGGAAACUGCAUCGGAUACUAUUCGGCUAGAGGGUUGGAGGGGGGACUGGAAUACCUGGUGUAGCAGUGAAAUGCGUAGAUAUCAAGUGGAACACCAGUGGCGAAGGCGAGUCCCUGGACAACUCCUGACACUGAGGCACGAAAGCUAGGGGAGCAAACAGG
rnacentral:rRNA from 1 species